rnacentral:rRNA from 1 species
UGCCAGCCGCCGCGGUAAUACGGAGGGUGCGAGCGUUAAUCGGAAUCACUGGGCGUAAAGCGUACGUAGGUGGCAAAGUCAGUCAGGCGUGAAAGCCCUCGGCUCAACCGAGGAAUUGCCCCCAAUACUGCCUGGCUUGAGUCCCGGAGAGGGUGGCGGAAUUCCCAGUGUAGCGGUGAAAUGCGUAGAUAUUGGGAGGAACACCAGUGGCGAAGGCGGCCACCUGGACGGGUACUGACGCUGAGGUGCGAAGGCGUGGGUAGCGAACGGGAUUAGAUA